rnacentral:lncRNA from 1 species
UUCAAGGCAUACAUGCAUCAUAGUUUUUUUUUUCUCUUUUCUCGUUAAAAUAUAUACAUGUCAGCUGUUUUGACAAACAUAUAAUAAACCUAAUUCGCUGAUAAACAUUUAUAUAUAGUUAGAUCCAGUAAUCCAGUGGUUACAAAAUCAGUAUGGUUUUUUUUUUUUUGGCUAACUUGUAAAUAUCAUAUAAAUUGAAGAAAAGGUAAUACAAACAGUUUACCUAAAAGAGACAGGUGGAUGCAGUAAACAAGGAUGCAAAAGCAACCAUAACUAGACAGAGCAGGCCAGUAAAGUACGUAGUUGUCCUGAUGAAGGAUCGAUAUAUAUAGAGAGAGAGAGAGACAGAGAGUCAUAGGGAUCAGUACUGAUCGAUCAGGCAUGUCGUUAACAAAUAUCGGCUGGGAUGUUCAAAUUACAUCUCUAGCAUUACAAGCUUAUAUAUCUAAUCUCGUCCUUUCUACUUUUAUUUGUUUUUCUUUUUCUUUUGGUCGCAUCUCGAUCGUCCUUAAAUUGUGCAUCAUGCAUGAUUAAAGUUAAGUUCGAGAUAACUCUAAAAUGACAAACCAAUUUAAACUACCUACCUACCUACCUGAAUGAUGAAGUUAUCAAUUUUCAA